rnacentral:rRNA from 1 species
AGCGAACGCUGGCGGCAGGCCUAAUACAUGCAAGUCGAACGCCCCUUCGGGGGAGUGGCGGACGGGUGAGUAACGCGUGGGAACGUGCCCUUUGGCUCGGAACAACACAGGGAAACUUGUGCUAAUACCGAAUGUGCCCUUCGGGGGAAAGAUUUAUCGCCAUUGGAGCGGCCCGCGUUGGAUUAGCUAGUUGGUGGGGUAAAGGCCCACCAAGGCUACGAUCCAUAGCUGGUCUGAGAGGAUGAUCAGCCACACUGGGACUGAGACACGGCCCAGACUCCUACGGGAGGCAGCAGUAGGGAAUCUUGCGCAAUGGGCGAAAGCCUGACGCAGCCAUGCCGCGUGAAUGAUGAAGGUCUUAGGAUUGUAAAAUUCUUUCACCGGGGAAGAUAAUGACGGUACCCGGAGAAGAAGCCCCGGCUAACUUCGUGCCAGCCGCCGCAGUAACAC